CUUAAAAUAAAAAGUUUGCAAAAUAGUGUAUGUAUAGAUUUAUGUUCUGUUGUUGUUCAUUUACUAUAAACAAGUAUAUGAAUUUGGAAAUGGAAAUUUAGUUCAACGCCAAUAGCAAUUGUGAUAAAGUAAUUUAAGAUCAUUUAAAGUUCAGUCAAGCAAGCACCUGAAAAUGGUCAACUUUUUGUUUAAUAUAGAUUGCUGUUCCAAAUACAAGUUGCAGAUAUGAUCCAAUACUUUAUGUCAAGCAAGGUUCAGAUUUUAAACCAAACAAACUUACUAUCUGUUGAUCUUCUGCUUUGUUUUGAAGUUAUGAGUUCAGAUAGAUAUAUGUUUUGUUCAAAGCAGAUCAGCCAACCAUAUAAAGGACAGAUAAAACUGACCCUCAUCUCAGGCUUAAGGGUCAAUUAAUGCAAUUUCUCAAAAGCUUUUUUGAAGUAUGCAACCCUGAUGUCUUGAUGGGCACAAUCACAUGGAAGUAAUGUAAUAUUAAAUUAAAUAUUAAAGUAUAAAAUUUGCAUUUA